AUUGAACGCUGGCGGAAUGCUUUACACAUGCAAGUCGAGCGGCAGCGCGGGGCAACCUGGCGGCGAGCGGCGAACGGGUGAGUAAUACAUCGGAACGUGCCCAGACGUGGGGGGAUAACUACUCGAAAGAGUGGCUAAUACCGCAUACGAUCUAAGGAUGAAAGCGGGGGAUCGCAAGACCUCGCGCGUUUGGAGCGGCCGAUGGCAGAUUAGGUAGUUGGUGGGGUAAAGGCUUACCAAGCCCGCGAUCUGUAGCUGGUCUGAGAGGAUGAUCCGCCACACUGGGACUGAGACACGGCCCAGACUCCUACGGGAGGCAGCAGUGGGGAAUUUUGGGACAAUGGGCGAAAGCCUGAUCCAGCCAUGCCGCGUGAGUGAAGAAGGCCUCGG
rnacentral:rRNA from 1 species